AUACGGAGGGUGCAAGCGUUAUUCGGAAUCACUGGGCGUAAAGGGUGCGUAGGCGGUUUGAUAAGUCUGAUGUGAAAUCCUAUGGCUCAACCAUAGAACUGCAUUGGAAACUGUCAGACUAGAAUACUGAAGGGGCAGAUGGAAUUAGUGGUGUAGGGGUAAAAUCCGUAGAUAUCACUAGGAAUACCGAAAGCGAAAGCGAUCUGCUGGGAAGUUACUGACGCUGAGGCACGAAAGCGUGGGGAGCAAACGGGAUUAGAAACCCUAGUAGUCC
rnacentral:rRNA from 1 species